AUUGAACGCUGGCGGCAGGCCUAACACAUGCAAGUCGAGCGAGCGGCGGACGGGUGAGUAAUGUAUGGGGACUGCCCGAUAGAGGGGGAUAACUACUGUAAACGGUAGCUAAUACCGCAUACUAUCGGAUAACCCAUAUGGGAUUAGCUAGUAGGUGAGGUAAUGGCUCACCUAGGCGACGCUCCCUAGCUGGUCUGAGAGGAUGAUCCGCCACACUGGGACUGAGACACGGCCCAGACUCAUACGGAGGCAGCAGUGGGGAAUAUUGCACAAUGGGCGCAAGCCGGAUGCAGCCAUGCCGCGUGUAUGAAGAAGGCCCUAGGGUUGUAAAGUACUUUCAGUCGGGAGGCGUUACCGACAGAAGAAGCACCGGCUAACUCCGUGCCAGCAGCCGCGGUAAUUC
rnacentral:rRNA from 1 species